rnacentral:lncRNA from 1 species
UUUUUAAUAUUAAGCAAGCAUUGAAUUUUGUGGUAAAUUCAAGCAAACUGUACAUGAUAAUCAUAGUGAUGAUAAUGAUAGGCCCAAAGAAAACAUCAAGUUUAUUUUCUUCUGGAAAACAAGGUUUCCUGAGGCUUUCAAUCAACCACACUGUGGUCUGGAGAUAGACUACAGUGUGCAUCUGAAGUACCUGCAAUGGGUGUGAUAGGGAAAUAGAUUCUGUUCAUGUCUGUCUACCAUGCGGGAGCCAGUGAAGCCUCCUCACUCUGCCCCACACAGAGAUCUCUGGGGCAUGUCCCUAAGAGCAUCUCCCAGCCACCCUUUUCAGGGCUGGUGCCUGUGCUUGCCAUUGGGAUACACAUGGGCAAGCCAGAGGCUCCAGCUCUGCCCAAUUGUGUCCGGCCUCUUCCACGGAACACCAGGAACCCCACUAUCCAGCUCUUCACCUGAAACAGCAAAGAACACGUCACAGUAAACAGAUCAGGGCCAUACCCUCCCUGUUGUGCAGUAAGUAGCUGGCUCUUACCUGCAAAUGUCAUCUAUUGGCCUGUAGGUUGAACCCAAUACAAAACCUGCUGCAUAGGUCUGUAGAAGCAGAGCCAAAACAGCCUGCCCACUACAGCCAUCUCCAGAUGAGAAGGAACCAGUGUGAGAAUUCUGUCUGAAUAUUGUGACAUCACCAGAGGCUCACAGUAGCUCUCUAGCAAUGGUCCCUAGCAGAAAAGGAGGCACAGAGAUGCAGAUGGAGAAUUCAGAGCAUGGAUUGCAGGCAAGUUCAGUGCAAUUCAAGGCUCAAAUCCUAUAAAAGACUAUAUCCAAGAGUACCAGAAAAACAGGCAUAGGAGCUGAAUUUCCUACAUUCGAACUACCACUCUUUACUUGAUCUUAGCCAAAAGGCUUAGAGAUGAUCUCUCCAAACCGCUCUUGUCAGAAUCUGCCUGGGUGAGCCUUUUUGAAAUAUAUCUCCUCGGCUCCUUCUCUCCUCU